ensembl:lncRNA
GCUUCAAGGUGAACUCAACAUGAUUACUCCUGACUGUUUGAAGGUACAACCAACCUUCCUUUUCCCUUGGCUAUAAGAAGUUCAGAGGCAUCGUGGCCAGGAAGCAGGGUCUAUGCUCAGAAGCUUGCCCUGAGUUUGUGCACCCGAUGGGCUCCCAAACCUGCCUGCCAUUCCUGACGGAGCUGCCGGUGGUGCAGCCACUCCAUCACCAACCUGCUCCUUCCUUGGAAGAUUUAAAUAUGUUUGAUUGCAAAUGAAUGUUUUUAAAAUGUAUUUAAUGCCUUUUUUUUUUUUCUGUUCUCAACAUGACCACCCAAGAUUCAAACACAGAGAUUUCCAAGUUGUAUUUUUUCUUUCAGAACAUUAAUGAUUUUAAAAUCUGUCCCAACAGGGACUUGGGUUUUGUGCAACCAUCAGAGUGCUAAUGUGCAGAAGCCAGUUUAAAGAAAAUGGAGUGUUCUGGGGGUAAAAGCCUUAUUUAGGCCCACUCACUGACAUUUCUAGUACUGAGAAAAUAUCCUUGGUUGGCAUUUGUAACACAAAACACUAUAGAGUUGGUAUUUUUAAGUACCAGGUAAAUAUAAAUAAACCAGUAACGAAUUGCUGAGACAAUCUUGAACCCAGAUAGCAUUAGAAAGCUGAAAGCCCAAUGAAAUGACACUUUGACACUUAAACUCUGUGGAUAAAUCUUGCCUGUGGCUAUAAACAGAUGGUCAGAGGAAAAGUGCUUUAUGAUAAUUAACUUUUCUGAUUUGAAUGAAGGAAAAUGUAUUUAUUAAAACAAAGCUGUUUGCUGCUUUAUGCAGAUGCAGUGUUCUGUCUGCAAGGAAGUGGGGGGAAUGGAACGUGGGCUUGUGUCUCCACCCAAGUUCUUAACUAAGCUUCUCGCUCUCUCUAAUACUGCAUUCUGUUUCUCCUUUUGUGCCCUGAUUGUAACCCAAAAUUUAUGAACUAGAAAAGAAUGUCCGAUUUAAUAAGUUGCAUUUUUUUUCCUUAAGCACUUUAUGCAGAACAAUACAUGUUCUUCUGGUAGUGUUUGGAUAAUGAUUUUUAACACAUGCUAAUAAAAGCCAAGAAAAAAGCAUG